GGGAUGGGAGAUAACUUUUUUUGCAUUAAAGUUUUAGAGCCAACCAU
rnacentral:tRNA from 1 species